GAAUAUUGGACAAUGGGGGGAACCCUGACCCAGCCAUGCCGCGGGGGUGAAGAAGCCCUUUUGGUUGUAAACCACUUUAAGCGGGGAGAAGGUGACUUUGAUUAAUACUCUAGCACAGUGGACGUCAGUCCCAGCAUCAGCACCGGCUAACGCUGUGCCAGCAGCCGCGGUAAUACAGAGGGUGCAAGCGUUAGUCGGAUUUACUGGGCGUAAAGCGCGCGUAGGUGGCCAAUUAAGUCAAAUGUGAAAGCCCCGAGCUUAACUUGGGAAUUGCAUUCGAUACUGGUUGGCUAGAGUAUGGGAGAGGAUGGUAGAAUUCCAGGUGUAGCGGUGAAAUGCGUAGAGAUCUGGAGGAAUACCGAUGGCGAAGGCAGCCAUCUGGCCUAAUACUGACACUGAGGUGCGAAAGCAUGGGGAGCAAACA
rnacentral:rRNA from 1 species